GUUGAAACGUUGUGACAUUGGGCUUCAAUAAACUGCUGUUUCUGAACCUGGGAGUGCCUAAACAUUAUUGUACUUUCUACAUACUGUACUGUUAUUGGGACCUGGUGCUGAGUCCUGGUUUGGUUGCACCCUGGCUCAGAGUGAUGGGAUAGAGUGCAGGUCCAUAAUGUUUCUUGAAAAGGAACUUACUCCAGAACAAAUCGUUCCAUCCAGGAUUUGUAGGUAGUCUUGUUAAAUGAAUAAGGCUCCACAGUUAAGUCAUGGACAGAUUGAUCUGUUUGGGUGUAGAUUAAAAUGAAUUUGAUAUGUUUGUACCAGCUGAGACACAAUGUUUAAUCUAACACAAGUUAGUUUUAAAUGGCUUUAGGCCCUUUUAUUCAUAAUACUAUAUUCUAAAGCUCCUGUGGCAAGCCCAUAUUUUAAUAUGCUUCAAAAUCCCUGUGCAAGACUUUGAGCUUAGGUAACUGCCGUUGAUUAUUUUUCCCACUAACAUUAAAGUCUAGAAGUGAAUACUUGGGUUUCCUGUGAUUAAAUGUUUUGAGGAAAAAACAAAAACCUUACGCAUACAAACUGGUCAUAUCACAAAUACAAUUUGUCUUAGUAAAAUGUGAAUUUGCACUUAGAGGAACAUUAUAGUGUUUGGAAGACAAAGCUGUAUUCUGAACACUAGUGUCUCUGCCACCACCACUGACCAUGUAACAGGUUAAACAAAAUGCUGG